UUCCUUUUGUCUUCACCUACAAAACAGAUUAAGAGAAAGUGAGAAACGAGACGAAAAGAGACGAAAAGAGAAGAAGCUGUAGAAGAAAGAGCGGGUGUUCAGGAAACGACAGGUCUCCGACGAAUGGCCUUACGAAUGCUCACCUACCACCCAUGGAACCUAAGAUGCACGGGAUGAGAGCGGUCAUGAGGUGGUGGCUCGAAGUCGAAACAGAGACGGAGACGGAGAGGGUAAAGACGGCGGCGGCUCAAGGGUUUUCCGGUGGUCUCCAUCUGUUUCCAGCAAAGAUGGUAAGAACCAGAACCUUAGUUCUUUUCCCGGUGAACUAGAUUCUGUUAACGAUCGAUCUAUGGACUAUGGUUGCAUGUCAUUAUUUGACUCGGACUUGAAACGAACGUGUUGCGUUAUUGCUAUCGGCCGUCUUCUCCGACGCAUCGGAGGAUUAAGGAGUCCCCUCUUAGCUCUGAUGCUAUUUUCAAGCAGAAAGUGCUAUGGUAAGUGGAGUGAAUUAUCCGGUCGUGGUAGCAGGUGGUGUAGGUUGUCCGCUCACAAUGUUUUCUGAGGUUCACUUGGAUUAUUUAGAAUGUUUUCAUCGACCUGAAUGUUGGGCUUUUGCUUUGAAUGCUUGCAUUGGACAAUAUUUCAUUUGUGGUAUGUUUUGAAGGUUUGAAAUUGCUUUCGCCCAGGUUUGCAUUGUCAUUUCUGAAUAUCAUUUUUGUUGCGACUAAUGCUGCAAUUUUGUCGUUUGUAGAAUGUGUGGGUUGUUUUUCAUAUUCUAUGUGUAGUUUGUAGAAUGUGUUGGUUGUUUUUCAUAUUCUAUGUGUAGAUUAGCAACUUAUGAAUGAAUCAUCUGAUACCGUACAUGAACACCAAGGAAACCACCUGAAUAGCAGCUAUCAACGUCAAUUACAUUUUUAUAGGGAAAGCAACUCCAAUUCAAAUGGACUGAACUGGUUGCCUGAUCCACUAAACUAUUAACUGUUUUCUUAUCUUUUUAACAUGUAAAUAAUUAAUACUUUAAAUAUUAUUUCAAAAACUAUGUUAUUGCAUAAAUAUAUAUAUAUUCAACCUUUGGUUGGUCCAGAACGACUUCAACGUAUUAUCGAAGAUUGGUUUUCAACAUACAAAAUUACACUUUGUGUUUCAUUUGUUAUCAUGAUUGUUGCUAUUUACAUGUAUGUCCCUGUGCAUCCAGACUAAGACCGUGAGGUAUGGUGGGGCGGGGGUUUGGGGCAUGGGUUGAUACGUUGACUUCGAGGGGCACCGCUGGUCAGUUGCAUGUUGGGUCGAUAUGGCGGGGCGUGGCUAGCCCGCGUGGGUUGGCCACCACGUAUUAUAAUUUUUUUUCAAUUAUUAUAAAAAUACACACAAAAUAAAAAAAAGCCUAGCCACCUAUAGCCUAGCCAACCCAGCCAAUGAGAGCCGGCCACGGAAGACCGCUAGGCCCGCCCAACGCCCGGGCUGGACCCCCGCCCAAGGGGACACGCCGAAACCCAAGCCCACCCGGGGUGGUGACUUGGGCGUUUGUACCCAACCCACGCCCCAACCCCCGCCUCAUACCCCAUAGUCUAAGUUCGCACAAAUGUGACUAUGUACGUUAUUGUUUUUUUAGUUUGUUAUCAUUAUUGUUUUGCAAUUUUUGAUGUUCUUUUUGAUGUUUCAGUGGUGGUGAAAAAGGAAACACCAACCUGUUUCCUUUUCCUAGGCAGAGCCCGUUGUUGCUCUCUUUUGAUCCCCGCCUAAGGAUUGUUUACGCUGCUUGACGUUGUGGGAUAGCCAUUGGGUCUCACAUGAAAUGUGUUGUUAACAAAUUUUUUUACACAACCAUCGAAGCCGAUACAGCAAGUUCCUACCUGCUGAAAAAGGAAACGUCAAAAUCGCAGCGAAACAACAGUUGGAAUUCAUUGGCGGAGUAGACCUCAACUCGCAUAGGACAGCCCUUUUGUCCACUUAUAGGAAGCAGCGAAGCGAAGGUGUAAUUGCAGUCAAGAACUAAAAUCACUGGAAGCCUUCCUUUUGUUCAGAUCAUCCUUCGACAAAAAGCACAUCUACGACUGCCCAUUGCCUGCAUAUAUAACCACGACAAUGUGGACUGUAGAUUAACAAGUUGUAUGCUCAGACAUACCCGAUUUUGUUUGUUGCAUAUAUAAACUGCAGUAUGAUAAAACUAAUGACAAGUGGUUAUUAACGUAAGAAAUGCAUCCAACCGAAUGUUGCGCAACGCGCGACAACGAAUACCCCUAGUUGUCUUCAAUAAAAAAAAUGUAUCUGCUAGACAUUAUAAAUCAUUUAAUUUAUGUAUAUGUAUAUAUAAUUUGAAAGUGGGGUAAGAAUAGUGAAUGGAGUUUUUAAGCAA